CUAAUAUAGUGCUUUACAGCAAGAUCUCCCAGUUUGUGUGGGUCUAAGUAAAGCAGGAAGAGACCUAAGCAGGGCUAAAAGGGAGAAUAAGGACAAAAGGACUUUGGACAAAUCCCACAGAGUUCAAAAUCUUGACAAACUGUUUCCAAUCCAGGUAAGCCUGAAAAGGCCCGGUGCUUCUCAGCUGGGAAAUGGCUUGAAACCAUUUUGGGCUGGUUCUGCCCACUGGCCUGUCAGGGUAGCAUUACUGAGCAGGAAUGAGCAGCAAUAAGCACUGAGGAGGGCACAAAACAUGAGGGAGACCAUGAGGUGCAGCUCUGCAUGCCGCCGCAGCUUUGCUCUUUGGCUUGGGCCUGCCCAUAUGUCUCUGGGAAGAAGUGGCAGCCUUACCCAGUGGCCAAGAUGAGGAGAAAAUUCACCUUAAAUGGAGCUGCUACUGUCUGGAAAGCACUGUAGAUACUGAGGAAUGUCACAGCAAGGACGCCAGCUGAUCCAGGACAGAAAACCAGUUGAAACGAGGACCACAGAGUGAGAACAGUGCUUGCCUUGAACAGCUUUUGGAAUUCAUCCCCUGCCAGGGGCAUUCAGUGACAUCUUGGCCACCUGUUAAGUACUUCUGCAUGGGAAAGUUACUUCAUGGGAAGGCAUUAAACAAGCUCAUCCAGAAAGAAAAAUACAGUCUCUUUGGAGCGUAGAUGUUCCUUUGUCUCACCAUAGCGUAGACGUGUUGUUACACAGUUGUCUGUGUUUAGCAAACAGCGUGACUUAGAUCUCACUUCCUCGGUAACACCCUUGCCAGAAAGCUGAACUCAGGGGAGCCUCAAGCCAUCAGAAGUCCUUGCACAAAACAACCAUCAGCAAGGAGAGGAAGGGACCGCAAACAUGGCUUGGACAAGGUGGUUUGUGCCCCCUCAGCACAUUGCCUACGUGUUCACAGCUUUGCACACAAACCAUAAUCCUAGCAAAAUCUUACGCUUUGGAUGUUUGAUGGCAGCCCCGGGAGACAGUGGUAUACAAUGCUAUCAGCAUUACUGUCAUUUUGACUGAAAGGUAAGAAGUUGACUUGCUAGGUCAUGGCUGUAGAAUGACAUCACAAGACAGGCGAGCUGAAUGGACAGGGUCUGUGUGUGCCCUCG
ensembl:lncRNA